rnacentral:tRNA from 1 species
GGCAGAGACUCAAGGGAUAGAGUGUCUGCCUAGCAAGUGUGAAGCUCUGAGUUCAAAUCUCAGUUCUGCCA